CAAAAUAAUAGCAGUGUAAUCUGACUAACCAGAAUAUCCCUGGUUUUUAGUAUAUUUCUUAUUGUUACAUGCCAGACAAGUUACCAGUAGGUGCAGUAGAUUCUCAGAAAACAAACAAGACCCAGCAUUCAUAAUAGGCACGCUCCGAAGGCUGUGCAAUUGGGCAAAUAGUUCAAAGGGGUUCAAGUCGCGGGG